CCGCAGGGAGUGGAGCAGAAUCAUGGCCGUUAAUACGGUCUGUCAGGGAGUAAUGGAGCUGCGUAGGGUUCGCCGCAGGGAGUGGAGCAGUGUUGUCCGUUACUGUGGCCUGCCAGGGGGUCCAGAUUGGUCAGUCAAUGUUCGGUUAGAGACGGUAGCGAGGUCCGAUAAUGUAGAAGUUUGGACGAGGUCUUCCCGC
rnacentral:lncRNA from 1 species